rnacentral:ncRNA from 2 species
AUUCAUCUUCAGGGGCAGGGUGUAAAUCCCGACCGGUGGUAUAGUCCACGAGCGACUGCAAGUUGCUGAACUGGUGUAAUUCCAGUACCGACAGUAUAGUCUGGAUAAAGAAGAUGGAG